GAUAUCUUAUGACAUUUUGAGGUAAAAGUUUUAAUAGAUAUUAAAUCAAAAAAUAAUUAUUAAAUCCUCUAGCAAGUGGUCUUUUAUGUGCUUAGUGAAUUUAAUUUAUUAUCACUAACAUGUUUGUUUUUUAGAUAAAUUUAAUCUUAAGCAAAGGUUUCCAUGCAAAAAUGAGAAAUUAAGCAAAUAGGUGCAAUAUUGGUAAGAUUGGGGUGCUGAAAGAAAAAGGGGUCAU
rnacentral:lncRNA from 1 species